rnacentral:rRNA from 1 species
UGGGGAAUAUUGGACAAUGGGCGCAAGCCUGAUCCAGCCAUGCCGCGUGUGUGAAGAAGGCUUUCGGGUUGUAAAGCACUUUCAGUGAGGAGGAAGGCCUCAAGGUUAAUACCUUUGAGGAUUGACGUCACUCACAGAAGAAGCACCGGCUAACUCCGUGCCAGCAGCCGCGGUAAUACGGAGGGUGCAAGCGUUAAUCGGAUUUACUGGGCGUAAAGCGCGCGUAGGUGGUUAGGUAAGCGAGAUGUGAAAGCCCCGGGCUCAACCUGGGAACGGCACUUCGAACUGCCUGGCUAGAGUGUGGUAGAGGGUAGUGGAAUUUCCUGUGUAGCGGUGAAAUGCGUAGAUAUAGGAAGGAACACCAGUGGCGAAGGCGGCUACCUGGACCAACACUGACACUGAGGUGCGAAAGCGUGGGGAGCAAACA